rnacentral:rRNA from 1 species
UUCUGGCUCAGGAUGAACGCUAGCGGCAGGCUUAACACAUGCAAGUCGAGGGGCAGCGGGAUGUAGCAAUACAUUGCCGGCGACCGGCGGAUGGGUGCGUAACGCGUAUGCAACCUACCUUAUACAGGGGAAUAACCUUUCGAAAGGGAGACUAACACCCCAUAGUAUUGAUUUAAGGCAUCUUAGAUUAAUUAAAUACUUAUAGGUAUAAGAUGGGCAUGCGUAUGAUUAGCUAGUUGGUAAGGUAACGGCUUACCAAGGCGACGAUCAUUAGGGGUUCUGAGAGGAACGGUCCCCCCACACUGGUACUGAGACACGGACCAGACUCCUACGGGAGGCAGCAGUGAGGAAUAUUGGUCAAUGGGCGCAAGCCUGAACCAGCCAUGCCGCGUGCAGGAAAGACGGCCUUAUGGGUUGUAAACUGCUUUUACAUAAGACUAACCGUAUAUUUGCGAAUAUACCUGAAUGUAUUAUGAGAAUAAGGAUCGGCUAGCUCCGUGCCAGCCGCGGC